rnacentral:ncRNA from 2 species
UAAUGUGAUAGAGGCGCGUUUUUAAAGAGUAACUAUACUGAAGCUGCCAGAGCUAGUGAUGUAUAGUGAAAGGUAAAAACGCCGAAGGGAUCUGCUGGCAACAGAUUGCCUGGUUGUUUGGCCAAUAGCCAACCGACUGUCAUCAUGCAAUGAUGAAGAGCUAUCGCUUAU